rnacentral:rRNA from 1 species
AUGUACUGGGCGGCGCACACGGCGCACAUCCGCGCGCAACUCGAGCGCGCCCAGCGCCGUUUCAAGAAGCAGGCCGACCGCAACCGCACCGAGCGCCAGUUUCAAGUGGGUGAGCAGGUCCUCUUGAAGCUGCAACCGUAUGUGCAGCAGUCCGUCGUCAGUCGUCCCUGCGCCAAGCUCGCCUACAAAUUCUUCGGACCGUACACCGUCGUCGAGAAGAUCGGCCUCCUAGCGUACAAGCUCGAUCUUCCCGCGUCCAGCCGCGUCCACCCAGUCUUCCAUGUCUCCCAAUUGAAGCCGUUCACGCCAUACUACACUCUCGUGUACGCCGAGCUGCCACGCGUACCAGACCUGUCCGUGUCUAGCGCAGCCCCGACACGCAUUCUGGAACGACGCAUGAUGAAGAGGGGCAAUGCACCAGUCGUUCAAAUCAAGGUGCAGUGGGGCGACAGUUCACCCCUGGCAGUCACCUGGGAGGAUCUCGACGUCCUGCGCUUUCCGGAUGCAAGCAUUUGGGAUGACGACGCCGCCAGCUCUCAGGAGGAGGCACAAUCUCAAGGAGAGGAGAAUGUCACGCCUGGCCACUUGGCCACCACUUGUCCAGCGUGA